GUCGUGUUGUCAGAGUGGUUAAUGAGUGAGACUUGAAACUAUGUGUUAAAGACAUCUCAUGCCUUCGGGCGCGUAGGUUCAAAUCCUGCACACGACG